rnacentral:rRNA from 1 species
UGCCAGCAGCCGCGGUAAUACGGAGGGUGCAAGCGUUAAUCGGAAUUACUGGGCGUAAAGCGCGCGUAGGCGGUGCGCUAAGUCGGAUGUGAAAGCCCCGGGCUCAACCUGGGAAUGGCAUUCGAUACUGGCGCGCUAGAGUGUGAUAGAGGAAAGCGGAACUCCCGGUGUAGCGGUGAAAUGCGUAGAGAUCGGGAAGAACACCGAUGGCGAAGGCAGCUUUCUGGGUCAACACUGACGCUGAGGCGCGAAAGCGUGGGGAGCAAACAGGAUUAGAUA